rnacentral:rRNA from 1 species
CUGGGAAUUUUGCGCAAUGGACGAAAGUCUGACGCAGCAACGCCGCGUGGGCGAGGAAGGCCUUCGGGUUGUAAAGCCCUUUUGGCGGGGAAGAAACAAAUGACGGUACCCGCAGAAGAAGCACCGGCUAACUCCGUGCCAGCAGCCGCGGUAAUACGGAGGGUGCAAGCGUUAUUCGGAAUUACUGGGCGUAAAGGGCGCGUAGGCGGCUUAGUUAGUCUGGUGUGAAAUCCCUCGACUUAAUCGAGGAAGUGCAUUGGAUACUGCUAGGCUUGAGUGCUGGAGGGGAGAACGGAAUUCCAGGUGUAGAGGUGAAAUUCGUAGAUAUCUGGAGGAACAACGGUGGCGAAGGCGGUUCUCUGGACAGUUACUGACGCUGAUGCGCGAAAGUGUGGGGAGC